GCGGAAGUAGCUCAGUGGUAGAGCAUCACCUUGCCAAGGUGAGGGUCGCGAGUUCGAGCCUCGUUUCCCGCUCCA
rnacentral:tRNA from 2 species